CUGGCGGCGUGCUUAACACAUGCAAGUCGAACGGUAAGGCCCUUCGGGGUACACGAGUGGCGAACGGGUGAGUAACACGUGGGUGAUCUGCCCUGCACUUCGGGAUAAGCCCGGGGAACUGGGUCUAAUACCGGAUAGUACUGCGCGGUGCAUGCCGUGUGGUGGAAAGAUUUAUCGGUGCAGGAUGGGCCCGCGGCCUAUCAGCUUGUUGGUGGGGUAAUGGCCUACCAAGGCGACGACGGGUAGCCGGCCUGAGAGGGCGACCGGCCACACUGGGACUGAGACACGGCCCAGACUCCUACGGGAGGCAGCAGUGGGGAAUAUUGCACAAUGGGCGCAAGCCUGAUGCAGCGACGCCGCG
rnacentral:rRNA from 1 species